AAACAUGUAGGGCUGCGGCCCUCCCAGGAUUGCCCACCCCUGGGUUAAAAGGAAACUGUCAGGUUUGCAAGGGACUGCUGUUGCUUGGGGGAUCUGUUGUAAUUUUUAGGUUGUAAGAAAAAGUGCGAGGAUAAAAAAAAGUGUAAGGAUUUUUGUACCAUUUAUAUUUUCUAGACAUAAUUUAUAAGUAAGUCAGGUUUACGUUGGAAACACAGGAAACUCAUGGGAAACGUCCUGUGAAAUUACAAAUGUGUGUGUUCUCGCGAGAACUGGAUUUUCUUUUUCGACACUUUAGUUAAAAAAACUUGGGUUCGAGUUUUGUUAGUUUAUAAUGUGCCUGUAGAAUAAAAUUAUACCGACACCGUUCCGCCAACUUACUUCACGAACGUGUGCAUCACGAUAUUGGAUAUUAUUUGACUGAAACCUGUUUCAUCAUCGAGAGAAAGAGAAGAAACGUGGCUUCCGCAUCCGUUAAGUUGUGGCAGGUAUCCGCGGGUCAGCAGACACAGCGGUAAUACCGCCAACAAGAGCAAGAAGAAGAAACAUCAUCAAUGUCGCUGAUCUCUGCGGUCGAGCGACUAAUCAAGUCCUGUAAAGUCGAACAGGCGAAGCUUAAUGACAGUAUUCAACACUGCAGAGAAAUUUUACACAGCAUAACAUCACAACCCACGGCAGAGUCUGAAAAGUCAGAACAAGCACAAGCUGUUGCAGUAGACACUUCACCCGGGGAGAAGGAAGAUAUAGAUCUGCUUGAACGAGCCCUGGAAAAAGCCCUUCGGGUCCGCACUGGCUCACAGCUCUCUAAAGACGACUGCUGCACAAACAACCUCUCUGGACCUCGAAGUGAAACGAACCCAACCACAGGCGUAUUGAUUUCAUCCGCAGUGGCUAAUGAAGGUCAAACAACCAUUAGAACCACCUCGAAAUCUGCUAGGCUCGGCAGAAAAGAGCACAAAACGUCUGGUUUAUCAGUUCGCUCCACACCGAGCUCAAGGUCCUCGACGAGCUACAAACCCACGCAGCCUAAAACCGUAAAUAAUCGAAACACAAUCCAAAACCGUUUCUCCUCAUCAACUCGGGCUCUGCACCAUCGGGCAUCGAGGAAGUUUCAGCAGACUGUUGCGGCAUCUGCCGCUCCUGAUCCGAUCACAACCCCGCUCUCGACAAAUAAGACAGCCAGAAGCAAUCUGGCAAGAGACGAUGACCUGAGCAGAGCUGCAGCUGCCUCCACGCCGUCUUCAAAUAACAUCGUGUCUUUGUCAGACACAGAUGGGUUUGGUUUGAGCAUUUUGCUUCAACAAAAUGGGCUAAAAUCUGACGUGACAACUAAAUGGAAGACUUUAAGGAGCAAGCAAAACAGGCUGUGGGACAAAGUCAUUUCCCUACAGAGGAAACCUGUGCCUGGGAGGAGUCGCUUUAUGGAGAGAAUGAGAGCCACGUUUCCCGGUGACUGGCCAUGUGGUAGUCCAGAUCAGACCAGGGCUCUGCUGGACAGACUGGCAGAACGAGGGCUCAGCCUUGGACCACGCAGCCACGCAGAAGAGACUCUAGCCAGGCAGGCGUCAGACGUGGAGUCGGAGCUGGGGUUGCAGCAGACGGCAGCAGAGCUCCAGAUCUUUGCAGACCAAGUGCAAAAAGACUGGAAGGCAUGGGAUCGAUGGAGGCCAGAGGGAGGCUGUCUUCGCCCCACUGGGGCAAAUUGUACGUUGGGAGACGGGAUAACUUCACCCCUGCCCCUGACUAUAACCUACAGAACCGAAGAUGAGCUUCAAGAGUUGGAGAGGCUGCGGAUGAGGGUGGCGCUGCUGCAGCAAGACAUUCAGAUAGAACAGGUUCUGUUGGACGCACUCUCAUCUCAAUUUGCAUCUAUAGUCCCUGGAGCCACACAUCCCAGCCCCAGUGUGCUCAGAGACAUGUACUCGUUGCUUGGUGAAGGAGGAGAGCGUUUCCCUGCAAUAGUCCUGGACUCAGCCUGAUUACCCACCAAGCAUGUUACUCUGAGAGUUAACAGUUGGUUAGCUUAGCAAAAGCCUCUAUUCUUGUUUCUUCAGCGUUUGAUGUCACCCAAAAAGAACCAAUCAUGACGCGCAGACAGCCCAGUGUUUCAUCUCUUGCUCCUCCCAUUCCCUCAGUGAGUUAUAUAUACUCCCUGGCACUACAGUGUGCAGAGUGUACAAUGUGCUGCCGAACAGCCAGCAGCCAGUGUGGGGAGACGCUGCAGAGAGGGGAGACGAGAAGGGGACACUGCCAGAGCUGAUUAGGAUCCCCGAAAGCAGCGCAGCUGAUCCAGCUGGGAUCCGCUAGCCCGCUCAUUUAAGGAUGGGCUGCACAACGGGCCAUUUUACUUGCCAGCCACAACCCCCGGUGAACUCUGGGCAGGAGAGUCAAUCCCUUGAAGCCAGUGGUGCCAAAGUUCCUGAAGUACUCUCUUCUCUGGAACGUUUGUCCCAAGCCACCGGAGGCAUGGAGAAGUCCUGGUAUCGCUGCAUUUUCCCCUUUGGAAUCAUCUCUUUGGUCAUCGGAGUUGCGGGAACGGGGGUGACCUACACGUACAACGACCUGCCACAGACUAAAGUUGUCUCCGUGGUGUUACUUGUCAUGGGCGUCGUGCUGCUGCUGAUGGCAACUGCCUGUUGGACUCUCCACAAGAAGAAGAGGAGGAAAAAGAAGGAGGGAGAGUCACUGACAUCCGAGCAGUGUCCCCUGUGAGCCACACGGAGGAAAAGUUAUAGGAAUAUAAAGACAAGGACAUGCUCGGUGUUCCGAUGUACUCAAAGUCCGGCUAAAAAAACAGGCUUCCACAUCGCCUCCCAACACCAAAUCCCCUCCAAUAUCAUAGAGUUUGGCUGAGCUUUUUGCUGUCAACUGAGGUUAAUACAUUAAAGAGAGUGGAAGAACAAAAAUAGUAAAGAUCUAUUUAGUCCGGACCAGUUUUGGGAUCAGGAGACAUGGAUCACAAUGUUUUAUCAUCAAGCAGCAGGUGUCCUGUGUCAAAACAACCACUGAGGAUACAAACAAAUAUGCAUUUUACACCACAUGGAUAUUUACUUGCACAGAAAGGCCCUCAGCCUUCUCCACAUAAAGCUCAUGCUGACACCUAACACGCUAUGCAGAACUGCUGCUGGAGUCAGUUCUGCCGUCAUUAGCCACGUCAGUCACAGCAUUCCUCUCACCAGGACAGGUGAUUCUCCAUAAGGGCCAGACAUGGGCCAAAGUCCGCAACCCGACACCCAGCCCAAAGAGCAGCGCGCCCCGCGUCCGAAACCAACGUCAUUCACUCGUCCUGUGACACUGCAGCAAUGUGUGUGUGGGAGCUUUUUUUACGCAACAGGACUUGGAACUUGAGUCCAGCAGGAUCUUGCUGGCAUCUGAGUGGAUGGUCGGUGAGCUGGACAGGAACAGAGAGCCUGCUGAGGAAGUGCAAGUGACACUUCUGGCCUUGAAUGCAGAAGAACUAAAGGUUUGCACAUGUCCGAGAAAGAAAACUCUUCAGAAAAGCAGCAGGUGAAGUUUCUUCGUGGCUUCAUCUCCACGACGAGGCACAAACUUUCUGAUCGACUGGCUGCCUUCCUGUCGAUGUGCGAGCAUUUACACUUGUGUCUAUGGCAGGGGGGUCCUAUUGAAGGACACUGCCUUGGGGUGGGGGACAUGCCACUUGCAGGGGCAUUUUGUCUGAUCCUGCUUCUCCGUUGCCCCUCCCGCUCAGUGUCUUGAGCAAGCACUCAUGGAAAAAAAAAGCUCUGUCACAUUCCCAUGUUUCCAUCUGAACUUCAGUGAAUCUACACCCCUUCCUUCUUUUUUCUUUUGACCCACCAGGACUCUCCACACUGAUCCCAUCCAUUUCAUCCUGCACCCUUGGAGUCUGACCGAAUCAAUCAUUUGUUUUUUUGUGCUAUAGCUCAGACGUGUUUAAAACCUUAAAAUGGUAGUUUCCUUUUAUUCAUAAAAAUCCUGAUUGUAUUUUUUUAAACAAAGAAUGUCAUUGUUUUCUCUCUAACAGAGGAAGGGAUAAGAUGAAAAUCUCCUCCGUACAAAGCUGUACUCUAAGAGUUUGGGCUCUUAGGGACUCCGGGGGUUUCCCUUUACUUUGUGUCCUUUUUUAAGUACAGAGAGUGAAUGUAGCUGCUCAUUUGUGAAUAGGAGCUUUCUGUCAGUGCGUUCUCACGGGAUGAGAUACACAAUGUCAUUUUGUUUGUGUCUUAAAAUACUCAUCUGUAACUAAAUAUAACAUGAGAUGAAAAUUUCAGAAGGAACGAGCGCAAUGUGCAAAAAAGUGAACAAAUUAAAUGCUGCUUAUCUCCACACCAACGGCUUUAACACCGCUGGAUCAUUAAGAACUUUUAUUAAUCAGGUUUGCAGUGAUCCAGCCCAGGGGUUUAGUGAUGCUUGCUGAGAAAAAUGUGUCUAUACACGCAGGGGUAGCAGUAAACGCCAAAGACUUUCUUUAAAGCACAGCUCAUGAACUUGCUUUUGUUUGCUCUAUUCAGACUUUUCUCCUCUUUUUCAGCUGCUUGUAUUCAGAUCUUUGCAUACUGUUUGUCAGCUUAACUCUAGUUUCAACAGAGACAAGAAAGAAAGAGUCAUGUCUUUUCUUUCUUUCUAUUUAAUAGGAAAUAUGUUGCAUUACUACUAACAUUUCAGAUGAAUUGGAGUGGACUUGGUAAAUUUUGAAUCUUUAGAUGGCAGUCAACGUGCUUACUGUAAAUCACAUUUCUUUCAUGGCUUACGUCAAAGGAAAUUCUCCUAUUAUUAGUUUAGUCUCUCCCCUUGUUUUUUUUUUUUCUGCUUGGAGCAGUGGUGUCCUCCAAACACCAAGAUGAGAGAGAAGCCCUGAAAUCGCAUUACAUUUGAUUAUAACGUAGCAGGCCAUCUGGCUCUGCUGUCUGAUGGUGUGUGAGCUUUCAGCAGGUUUGUUCACUUCAGUCAGGAGUACGGAUUGAAGGUGUUUCAGCAUGAUUCAUUUACACAACAGAAGUAAUCUCGUAGCUUUCAUGUUUUAUUUUUCUAGCAAAUUCAUCAAUUGGUUUGUGUUUAAAAGAGAAAAUAAUGUAAAUUGGUCAAACUUAUUGCCUUGAGUUGUGAGACUGGUAUUGGAUAAUUUUAUUAAAGAAAAACCACUAACACAAAAAAGUAAAGUGAGGUACAUGGUCUUAUUUUCUUGCCUUGUGCAACAACGCACAUGUAUGCUACGCACUGACUAUGUUUUGCUUGCAUAGUUACAAACGAUCAAGCUUUAUUGUGCCAGUAUAGGUUUAUGGAUGGUGUCUAUAGAUGUGGUUGGUUAGAGAUGUUCUGUGAUUUCCUUCCUGCCUUUUGAAAUUGUAAAGAGAAAACCUACCUCUCUCUGCUGCAGGGAUUCAUGUCCCUCUAUUGUAAGACAGAGACUCUGUCUGACUUUGCUGUUUGUCACUCCAGUAACACAAAGUGUGUCGGUUUUUGUGCACUCUAAUAUUUGGUGCUGUAAAUGUACCUAUAACUUUUUUUAUUUGCAUUGUAUAUUUCUAUAUGUAAAUUUUAACUCUUUACAUAUGUACAGUAUAAAAUAAAUGUUAACGUUUGUGUCUUUAAA